GUUUGGCAUAGCCCCCAAGAAAGAGUCCAUGGCCUCCCUCUCGAGCACUCCAUCUCCUCACCGUCCACCUCCUCCUUCGAUUCCUCCACGCCAAUGCAAAGCCCAAUGCGCAAAGCCCAUCCGCACGUCGUCCUCCACCUCCGGCGACGCCGGCAAACUUUCCCUAACCGAAGGAACGCGACGGAGGAGGAGCGGGACCGUCGACGCGGAGAAGCUGAAGGAGAGAGAGUCUAGAGAGAGGAGGGAGGAGGUUAACCGGAAGAUCGCGUCGCAGAAGGCGAUAUCUGUGAUUCUGAGGAGGGAGGCCACCAAGGCCGUGAUCGAGAAUAAGCGCGGGCGGAGCAACUCGAGGAAGCUGCUCCCGACGACUGUCCUCGAAGCUCUCCACGAGAGGAUCACGGCCCUGCGCUGGGAGUCUGCGCUUAAGGUUUUUGAACUGUUACGUGAGCAGCUCUGGUACAGACCAAACCCUGCCACCUAUGUUAAGCUAAUUGUCAUGCUUGGGAAAUGUAAGCAACCUGACAAGGCUCAUGAGCUCUUUCAAGCUAUGAUAGACGAAGGAUGUGCUGUCAAUCAUGAGUCGUAUACAGCACUUUUAUCUGCUUACAGUAGGAGUGGUCUCUUUGACAAGGCAUUUUUGAUCCUUGAGCAGAUGAAGAGCACCAGAGGCUGUAGGCCGGACGUCCAUACUUAUUCUAUCCUUAUAAAGUCAUGCCUGCAAGUUUUUGCAUUUGAUAAAGUGCAGGAUUUGCUUUCUGAUAUGGAAGCUGAAGGCAUUAAACCCAACACGAUCACUUACAAUACCCUAAUUGAUGCUUAUGGGAAAGCAAAAAUCUUUGCAGAGAUGGAGUCAACAAUUGCAGAAAUGCUACGUCAACCAGACUGUGAGCCAGAUGUUUGGACCAUGAACUCUACACUUAGAGCCUUUGGCAGCAGUGGGCAAAUAGGAACCAUGGAGAAGUGUUAUGAGAAGUUUCAGAGUGCAGGAAUACAGCCCAAUAUUAGAACAUUCAAUAUUCUCCUGGAUUCCUAUGCAAAAGCUGGAAAUUAUGAGAAAAUGAGUGCAGUGAUGGAGUACAUGCAGAAGUACCAAUACUCCUGGACGAGUGUGACGUACAAUGUUCUGAUAGAUGCAUUUGGGAGGGCUGGGGAUUUAAAACAGAUGGAACAUUUGUUUAGGCUAAUGCAGUCAGAGAGGAUUAAGCCAAACUGCGUCACUCUUUGUUCACUUGUGAGAGCAUAUGGACAAGCUGGGAAAGCUGAUAAAAUUAAAGGUGUUUUGCGGUUUAUAGAUAAUUCGGAUGUAAUGCUAGAUACUGUGUUUUUUAAUUGCUUAGUGGAUGCUUUUGGGAGGAUGGAAUGCUUUGCAGAGAUGAAGGAUGUGCUUGGGAUGAUGAAGCAAAAAGGAUGUAAACCUGACAAAAUUACAUAUAGAACCAUGGUUAAAGCCUAUUCAAUCAGUAGGAUGACGAGCCAUGUGAAGGAACUACAAGAUCUCUAUGAAUCGGGGUGGAAAAGUUCAAAGGAAGAUGAAGAAGUCUAGCUUGCAGUGAGAAAUUUUCAGAGUUUCACUGAAGCAUAAAACUGCAUCAUGAAAGUAAAGUUGAUUUUGGAGCAGCAUCUUUGGAGUGCUUGUCCAGUUUCUGCGCAAUUUUAAGACCUUUUUUGUAAGAGAUUGUUCAAAUCUGUUGCUGGAUUUGGGUCCUCAUCAGAACAGAGAGAAGUGCAGUCGAUUUGCUCAACAGACGGAGCGGAACAAGCGGAGACAUUCUGAAUAAUAGCUUUGAGAUAGGCUAUAGCUAACGGAGAGCACUGUUCGGACAGCACUGUUUGUGCAGCCACGAUAACUCAUUCUCUCUGCGGCAUUUUCGGAUGAGAAUCUGAGCAACUGAGAGGCGAAAAUGUUAUACUCUCUGCGGUAAAUAUCACAAGAAGUUUUGGUGUUACUGAAGCAUCUUCCCUUUUCAUACCAGAUGAUGCACACUCAUAACUUCCUCUGAACUUGGGAAUCUCCACUGACCGCUGAAAUGUGAAAUUAUGUGAAGGUUGUACAUUCUUUAUGAGGCAUGAAGCAUUUGUAUCAUCCCCAAGUUGUUGGGGCACCUAUUUUCUACCGGGUAUCACAUUUGGUCAAAAUGCUGGUGCAAAAACACUUAAAGCAUUUGAUGGAUUCUACUGUAACCGUCGAUUCGAUUCUAGCGGCCCGGCAAGAUUGU